UACGUAGGGGGCAAGCGUUGUCCGGAUUUAUUGGGCGUAAAGAGCGUGUAGGCGGCCAGACAGGUCCGUUGUGAAAACUCGAGGCUCAACCUCGAGAUGUCGAUGGAAACCGUCUGGCUAGAGUCCGGAAGAGGAGUGUGGAAUUCCUGGUGUAGCGGUGAAAUGCGCAGAUAUCAGGAGGAACACCGGUGGCGAAGGCGGGUCUCUGGGCCAAUACUGACGCUGAGGAGCGAAAGCGUGGGGAGCGAACAGG
rnacentral:rRNA from 1 species